UGUUAGCCCUGAUCGAAACGGCAUCCUUUUUAUCCUGAAUCUAGUUCAGGAUUCUGAACUAGAUUCAGGAUAAAAAGAUACAGUGUAGAGCAGGAAAUAGC
rnacentral:sRNA from 1 species